rnacentral:lncRNA from 1 species
AUGGCUAAGAUCAAGUCUCGGGACCUUCACGGGAAGGAGAAAGAGUUGCUGCUCAAACAGCUGGACGACCUGAAGGUGGAGCUGUCCCAGCUGCGCAUCGCCACUGACAGGCGGCGCGGUCUCCAAGCUCUCUAAGAUCCGUGUCAUCCACAAUUCCAUUGCCCGUGUUCUCACCGUAAUUAACCAGACUCACACAAAGAAAACCUCAGGAAAUUCUACAAGGGCAAGAGGUACAAGCCCCUGGACCUGCGGCCUGAGAAAACAUGCGCCUGCGCCACUGGCCCAGCAAGCACGAGGAGAACCUGAAGACCAAGCAGCAGCCGCGGAAGGAGCGGCCGUACCCGCUGCAGAAGUACACAGUGAACGCCUGA